rnacentral:rRNA from 1 species
ACUGAACGCUGGCGGCAUGCCUUACACAUGCAAGUCGAACGGCAGCACGGGAGCAAUCCUGGUGGCGAGUGGCGAACGGGUGAGUAAUAUAUCGGAACGUGCCCAGUAGUGGGGGAUAACUGCUCGAAAGAGCAGCUAAUACCGCAUACGACCUGAGGGUGAAAGGGGGGGAUCGCAAGACCUCUCGCUAUUGGAGCGGCCGAUAUCAGAUUAGCUAGUUGGUGGGGUAAAGGUCUACCAAGGCAACGAUCUGUAGUUGGUCUGAGAGGACGACCAGCCACACUGGGACUGAGACACGGCCCCGACUCCUACGGGAGGCAGCAGUGGGGAAUUUUGGACAAUGGGCGCAAGCCUGAUCCAGCAAUGCCGCGUGCAGGAAGAAGGCCUUCGGGUUGUAAACUGCUUUUGUCAGGGAAGAAAUCCUCUAGGUUAAUACCCUUGGGGGGAUGACGGUACCUGAAGAAUAAGCACCGGCUAACUACGUGCCAGCCGCCGCAGUAACAC